rnacentral:rRNA from 1 species
AGUGCGUAAUAGCUCACUGGUCGAGUGAUCCUGCGCCGAAGAUUUCCGGGGCUAAAACUUACUACCGAAGCUACGGCAUCAGUAAUGAUGGGUAGGGGAGCUUCCCAUACGGGUUGAAGCAUGACCGUAAGGACAUGUGGACAGUAUGGGAGUGAGAAGGUUGGCAUGAGUAGCGAGAUGUGGGUGAGAAUCCCACAGGCCGUAAACCCAAGGUUUCCAGGGGAAGGUUCGUCCGCC